rnacentral:misc_RNA from 1 species
UCUCCGUUGGUGAACCAGCGGAGGGAUCAUUAUAGAGUUUUCAAACUCCCAAACCCAUGUGAACUUACCAGUGUUGCCUCGGCGGGUUCUAGCUCCUGUAAAGGUGUUAGUAUUCCGCCCGCCGAUGGCUAAUAUCAAACUCUUGAAUUACCCUGUAAUCUGAGCGUUAUUUUUAAAAUAAGUUAAAACUUUCAACAACGGAUCUCUUGGUUCUGGCAUCGAUGAAGAACGCAGC